UACGUAGGGGGCUAGCGUUGUCCGGAUUUAUUGGGCGUAAAGAGCGUGUAGGCGGCCAGGUAGGUCUGCUGUGAAAACUCGAGGCUCAACCUCGAGACGUCGGCGGAAACCAUCUGGCUAGAGUCCGGAAGGGGAGAGUGGAAUUCCUGGUGUAGCGGUGAAAUGCGCAGAUAUCAGGAAGAACACCUGUGGCGAAGGCGGCUCUCUGGGACGGUACUGACGCUGAGACGCGAAAGCGUGGGGAGCGAACAGG
rnacentral:rRNA from 1 species